ensembl:snRNA U2 U2 spliceosomal RNA
AUCGCUUCUCGGCCUUUUGGCUAAGAUCAAGUGUAGUAAAGUCAAUUCUUUCCAGUCAAACACUGUAUGGCUUUGUACGAGUUUAUAUGUUCUUGGUUUAUUUAUACUAAACAAGGCUUUUAAUCCUCAGUAACCGAAAGCCCACCCCA